rnacentral:lncRNA from 1 species
UACAACUAUCACCUGGAAUGGAAUGGGCAUCCUCCACUGCAUUCUCUUGUGGGGAAGGGAAUUUGUAUCCAAGAGGAAGAUUAAGGCUGAAGUACUUCCACAAGAGGCCAAUCCUAUUCUCCAACAAUCAAAGGUGCACUUGGAAGAACUAACACAGCUCUUCAAUGUAAAAUGAAAUGCAAAUGGCUAAAAGCAGACUUCGACUGAAAUGCAGUCAAAGAAUGAGAAUCAGGACACAGAGAAAGG